rnacentral:rRNA from 1 species
GAUGAACGCUGGCGGCGUGCCUAAUACAUGCAAGUCGAGCGAACAGACGAGGAGCUUGCUCCUCUGACGUUAGCGGCGGACGGGUGAGUAACACGUGGAUAACCUACCUAUAAGACUGGGAUAACUUCGGGAAACCGGAGCUAAUACCGGAUAAUAUAUUGAACCGCAUGGUUCAAUAGUGAAAGACGGUUUUGCUGUCACUUAUAGAUGGAUCCGCGCCGCAUUAGCUAGUUGGUAAGGUAACGGCUUACCAAGGCAACGAUGCGUAGCCGACCUGAGAGGGUGAUCGGCCACACUGGAACUGAGACACGGUCCAGACUCCUACGGGAGGCAGCAGUAGGGAAUCUUCCGCAAUGGGCGAAAGCUUGACGGAGCAACGCCGCGUGAGUGACGAAGGUCUUCGGAUCGUAAAACUCUGUUAUUAGGGAAGAACAAAUGUGUAAGUAACUAUGCACGUCUUGACGGUACCUAAUCAGAAAGCCACGGCUAACUACGUG